rnacentral:misc_RNA from 1 species
AAAGGUCCACAAUUAUAUCAGGUAUCUCCAUUUCUCCUGUUUGGAUUUGCAACUUUGUGUUCAUGAUAUUAAAUUUCAAGCUGAUAGAGAGACAUUUUCUGGCCAUGGUGGAAAUACGUUCCCAAUGUGAUAUAAGAUAUAUUGUUUGUACUUGGCUGCUUGUGCUGUUUGAAUGUCAUUGUUUGCAUGGAGAACAACAUAAUCACAAGUACUAGGAGUUCAGUGGCUGUCAAUCACCCUAUAGUAAUGUACAUUAUGUGGA